UGCAGUCGAGCGGACUAUAGGGGCUUGCUCCUAUAGUUAGCGGCGGACGGGUGAGUAACGCGUGAGCAACCUGCCCACAUCUGGGGAAUAACACAUAGAAAUGUGUGCUAAUACCGCAUAAGACCACAGAGAGGCAUCUCUCAGGGGUAAAAGAUUUAUCGGAUGUGGAUGGGCUCGCGUACCAUUAGAUAGUUGGUAGUGUAACGGACUACCAAGUCGACGAUGGUUAGCCGACCUGAGAGGGUGAUCGGCCACAUUGGAACUGAGAUACGGUCCAGACUCCUACGGGAGGCAGCAGUAGGGAAUAUUGGGCAAUGGAGGCAACUCUGACCCAGCAACACCGCGUGAAUGAUGAAGGUCUUCGGAUUGUAAAGUUCUGUGAUGGGGGACGAAAACAAUGACGGUACCCCAAGAGCAAGCCACGGCUAACUACGUGCCAGCAGCCGCGGUAAUACGUAGGUGGCAAGCGUUGUCCGGAAUGACUGGGCGUAAAGGGUGCGUAGGUGGCUAUUCAAGUUAGUAGUGAAAUCCCGGGGCUCAACUCCGGUGCUACUACUAAGACUGUUUAGCUUGAGUGCAGGAGGGGCAAGUGGAAUUCCUAGUGUAGCGGUGGAAUGCGUAGAUAUUAGGAGGAACACCAGUGGCGAAAGCGACUUGCUGGACUGUAACUGACACUGAGGUACGAAAGCGU
rnacentral:rRNA from 1 species